rnacentral:rRNA from 1 species
UUCCGGUUGAUCCCGCCGGAGGCUACCGCUAUUGGAGUCCGAUUAAGACAUGCGAGUCGAGAGCUUUCGGAGCUCGGCAUACUGCUCAGUAACACGUGGGUAACCUGCCCUGUGCUGGGGGAUAACCUCGGGAAACUGAGAACAAUACCCCAUAGUCCACUACGCCUGGAACGGUGAGUGGAUGAAAGCCCCGGCGGCACAGGAUGGGCCUGCGGCGUAUCAGGUAGUAGGGGGUGUAAAGUACCCUCUAGCCUUCGACGCGUACGGGUUGUGAGAGCAAUAGCCCGGAGAUGGAUUCUGAGACAAGAAUCCAGGUCCUACGGGACGCAGCAGUCGCGAAACCUUGACAAUGCGGGAAACCGUGAUCAGGGGACUCCAAGUGCCAGGAGUAAGAUCCUGUGCUUUUCUUUUCUCUUCAAAGGAUUUGGAAUAAGAGGUGGGUAAGGACGGUGCCAGCCGCCGCGGUAAUACCGGCGCCUCGAGUGGUAGUCGAUUUUAUUGGGCCUAAAACGUCCGUCGCCGGUCUGGUGCAUUCGUGGGUAAAUCAACCCGCUCAACGGGUUGAAUUCUGCGAGCACGGCCAGACUAGGGACCGGGAGAGGUGUGGGGUACGCUCGGGGUAGGGGUAAAAUCCUGUCAUCCCGAGCGGACCACCUGUUGCGAAGGCUCCACACUAGAACGGAUCCGACGGUCAGGGACGAAGCCUAGGGGCACGAACCGGAUUAGAUACCCGGGUAGUCCUAGGUGUAAACGCUGUGGACUUGGUGUUGGGAGCUCCCAGAGGGCUCUCAGUGCCGUAGCGAAGGUGAUAAGUCCACUGCCUGGGGAGUACGGUCGCAAGGCUGAAACUUAAAGGAAUUGGCGGGGGAACACCGCAACCUGAGGAUUGUGCGGUUUAAUUGGAUUCAACGCCGGG